rnacentral:rRNA from 1 species
AACGAACGCUGGCGGCAUGCCUAACACAUGCAAGUCGAACGAGACCUUCGGGUCUAGUGGCGCACGGGUGCGUAACGCGUGGGAAUCUGCCCUUGGGUUCGGAAUAACAGCGAGAAAUUGCUGCUAAUACCGGAUGAUGACGUAAGUCCAAAGAUUUAUCGCCCAAGGAUGAGCCCGCGUAGGAUUAGCUAGUUGGUGAGGUAAAGGCUCACCAAGGCGACGAUCAGUAGCUGGUUUGAGAGAACGACCAGCCACACUGGAACUGAGACACGGUCCAGACUCCUACGGGAGGCAGCAGUGGGGAAUAUUGGACAAUGGGCGAAAGCCUGAUCCAGCAAUGCCGCGUGAGUGAUGAAGGCCUA